AUUACCUCAGUAACGGCGAGUGAAGCGGUAACAGCUCAAAUUUGAAAUCUGGCUCUUUCAGGGUCCGAGUUGUAAUUUGUAGAAGAUGCUUCAGGUGUGGCUCCGGUCUAAGUUCCUUGGAACAGGACGUCAUAGAGGGUGAGAAUCCCGUAUGUGACUGGUUGCCUUCGCCUAUGUGAAGCUCUUUCGACGAGUCGAGUUGUUUGGGAAUGCAGCUCUAAAUGGGAGGUAAAUUUCUUCUAAAGCUAAAUAUUGGCCAGAGACCGAUAGCGCACAAGUAGAGUGAUCGAAAGAUGAAAAGCACUUUGGAAAGAGAGUUAAACAGUACGUGAAAUUGUUGAAAGGGAAGCGCUUGCAACCAGACUUGCCUGCCGUCGAUCAUCCUCCGUUCUCGGGGGUGCACUCGGCGGUGGUCAGGCCAGCAUCGGUUUCGGUGGUGGGAUAAAGACCUUGGGAAUGUAGCUCCUCUCGGGGAGUGUUAUAGCCCUCGGUGCAAUGCCGCCUACCGGGACCGAGGACCGCGCUUCGGCUAGGAUGCUGGCGUAAUGGUUGUAAGCGACCCGUCUUGAAACACGGACCAAGGAGUCUAACAUCUAUGCGAGUGUUUGGGUGUUAAACCCAUACGCGUAAUGAAAGUGAACGGAGGUGAGAACCCUUUAGGGUGCAUCAUCGACCGAUCCUGAUGUCUUCGGAUGGAUUUGAGUAAGAGCAUAGCUGUUGGGACCCGAAAGAUGGUGAACUAUGCCUAAAUAGGGUGAAGCCAGAGGAAACUCUGGUGGAGGCUCGCAGCGGUUCUGACGUGCAAAUCGAUCGUCAAAUUUGGGUAUAGGGGCGAAAGACUAAUCG
rnacentral:rRNA from 1 species